UACGUAGGGUGCGAGCGUUGUCCGGAAUUACUGGGCGUAAAGAGCUCGUAGGUGGUUUGUCGCGUUGUCCGUGCAAACUCACAACUCAAUUGUGGGCGUGCGGGCGAUACGGGCAGACUGGAGUACUGCAGGGGAGACUGGAAUUCCUGGUGUAGCGGUGGAAUGCGCAGAUAUCAGGAGGAACACCGGUGGCGAAGGCGGGUCUCUGGGCAGUAACUGACGCUGAGGAGCGAAAGCGUGGGGAGCGAACAGG
rnacentral:rRNA from 1 species